ACUCAAAUGAAUAGACGGGGGCCCGCACAAGCGGUGGAGCAUGUGGUUUAAUUCGACGCAACGCGAAGAACCUUACCUGGGCUCGAAAUGUAGUGGACCGGGGUAGAAAUAUCCCUUCCUAGCAAUAGGUCGCUAUAUAGGUGCUGCAUGGCUGUCGUCAGCUCGUGUCGUGAGAUGUUGGGUUAAGUCCCGCAACGAGCGCAACCCUUAUCUCCAGUUGCCAUCAUUCAGUUGGGCACUCUGGCGAAACCGCCUCGGAUAACGGGGAGGAAGGUGGGGAUGACGUCAAGUCCUCAUGGCCUUUAUGUCCAGGGCUACACACGUGCUACAAUGGCCGGUAUAAACCGCUGCAAACCCGCGAGGGGGAGCUAAUCGGAAAAAGCCGGCCUCAGUUCGGAUCGCAGUCUGCAACUCGACUGCGUGAAGCUGGAAUCGCUAGUAAUCGCAGAUCAGAACGCUGCGGUGAAUACGUUCCCGGGCCUUGCACACACCGCCCGU
rnacentral:rRNA from 1 species